rnacentral:rRNA from 1 species
UACCAUGCAGUCGAACGAUGAUGCCCAGCUUGCUGGGCGGAUUAGUGGCGAACGGGUGAGUAAUACGUGAGUAACCUGCCCUUGACUCUGGGAUAAGCCUGGGAAACUGGGUCUAAUACUGGAUACUACCUCUUACCGCAUGGUGGGUGGUGGAAAGGGUUUUACUGGUUUUGGAUGGGCUCACGGCCUAUCAGCUUGUUGGUGGGGUAAUGGCUCACCAAGGCGACGACGGGUAGCCGGCCUGAGAGGGUGACCGGCCACACUGGGACUGAGACACGGCCCAGACUCCUACGGGAGGCAGCAGUGGGGAAUAUUGCACAAUGGGCGGAAGCCUGAUGCAGCGACGCCGCGUGAGGGAUGACGGCCUUCGGGUUGUAAACCUCUUUCAGUAGGGAAGAAGCGAGAGUGACGGUACCUGCAGAAGAAGCGCCGGCUAACUACGUGCCAGCAGCCGCGGUAAUACGUAGGGCGCAAGCGUUGUCCGGAAUUAUUGGGCGUAAAGAGCUCGUAGGCGGUUUGUCGCGUCUGCUGUGAAAGCCCGGGGCUCAACCCCGGGUCUGCAGUGGGUACGGGCAGACUAGAGUGCAGUAGGGGAGACUGGAAUUCCUGGUGUAGCGGUGAAAUGCGCAGAUAUCAGGAGGAACACCGAUGGCGAAGGCAGGUCUCUGGGCUGUUACUGACGCUGAGGAGCGAAAGCAUGGGGAGCGAACAGGAUUAGAUACCCUGGUAGUCCAUGCCGUAAACGUUGGGCACUAGGUGUGGGGGACAUUCCACGUUUUCCGCGCCGUAGCUAACGCAUUAAGUGCCCCGCCUGGGGAGUACGGCCGCAAGGCUAAAACUCAAAGGAAUUGACGGGGGCCCGCACAAGCGGCGGAGCAUGCGGAUUAAUUCGAUGCAACGCGAAGAACCUUACCAAGGCUUGACAUUCACCGGACCGCCCCAGAGAUGGGGUUUCCCUUCGGGGCUGGUGGACAGGUGGUGCAUGGUUGUCGUCAGCUCGUGUCGUGAGAUGUUGGGUUAAGUCCCGCAACGAGCGCAACCCUCGUUCUAUGUUGCCAGCACGUGAUGGUGGGGACUCAUAGGAGACUGCCGGGGUCAACUCGGAGGAAGGUGGGGAUGACGUCAAAUCAUCAUGCCCCUUAUGUCUUGGGCUUCACGCAUGCUACAAUGGCCGGUACAAAGGGUUGCGAUACUGUGAGGUGGAGCUAAUCCCAAAAAGCCGGUCUCAGUUCGGAUUGAGGUCUGCAACUCGACCUCAUGAAGUCGGAGUCGCUAGUAAUCGCAGAUCAGCAACGCUGCGGUGAAUACGUUCCCGGGCCUUGUACACACCGCCCGUCAAGUCACGAAAGUUGGUAACACCCGAAGCCGGUGGCCUAACCCCUUGUGGGAGGGAGCCGUCGAAG